rnacentral:rRNA from 1 species
GAUGAACGCUGGCGGCGUGCUUAACACAUGCAAGUCGAACGUGAGGGGGUAGCAAUAUCCUUGAAAGUGGCGCACGGGUGAGUAAUACGUAGGUAACCUGCCCUGGAGUGGGGGAUAACAGCUAGAAAUGGCUGCUAAUACCGCAUGAGGCCGAGACACUGGGAAGUGUUUUGGCGAAAACUCUGGUGCUUCAGGAGGGGCCUGCGGCCGAUUAGCUAGUUGGCGGGGUAAGAGCCCACCAAGGCAGUGAUCGGUAGCUGGUCUGAGAGGACGAUCAGCCACACGGGAACUGAGACACGGUCCCGACUCCUACGGGGGGGCAGCAGUGAGGAAUAUUGGGCAAUGGGCGGAAGCCUGACCCAGCAACGCCGCGUGGAGGAAGACGGCCUUCGGGUUGUAAACUCCUUUACGGGGUAAGAGGAAGGACGGUACCCGACGAAUAAGUACACGGCUAACUAACGUGCCAGCAGCCGCGGUAA